ACCCCGGCUAACUCCGUGCCAGCAGCCGCGGUAAUACGGAGGGGGUUAGCGUUGUUCGGAAUUACUGGGCGUAAAGCGCGCGUAGGCGGAUCAAAAAGUUGGGGGUGAAAUCCCAGGGCUCAACCCUGGAACUGCCUCCAAAACUACUGGUCUAGAGUUCGAGAGAGGUGAGUGGAAUUGUGAGUGUAGAGGUGAAAUUCGUAGAUAUUCACAGGAACACCAGUGGCGAAGGCGGCUCACUGGCUCGAUACUGACGCUGAGGUGCGAAAGUGUGGGGAGCAAACAGGAUUAGAUACCCUGGUAGUCCACACCGUAAACGAUGAAUGCCAGUCUGCGGGCAGUAUACUGUUCGGUGACACACCUAACGGAUUAAGCAUUCCGCCUGGGGAGUACGGUCGCAAGAUUAAAACUCAAAGGAAUUGACGG
rnacentral:rRNA from 1 species